rnacentral:rRNA from 1 species
ACUACGGUGUGCAGCAGUAGGGAAUAUUGCUCAAUGGGGGAAACCCUGAAGCAGCAACGCCGCGUGGAGGAUGAAGGUUUUCGGAUUGUAAACUCCUUUUGUUAGAGAAGAUAAUGACGGUAUCUAACGAAUAAGCACCGGCUAACUCCGUGCCAGCAGCCGCGGUCAUACGGAGGGUGCAAGCGUUACUCGGAAUCACUGGGCGUAAAGAGCGCGUAGGCGGGGUAGCAAUUCAGAUGUGAAAUCCUAUGGCUUAACCAUAGAACUGCAUUUGAAAAUGUUAUUCUAGAGUAUGGGAGAGGUAGGUGGAAUUCUUGGUGUAGGGGUAAAAUCCGUAGAGAUCAAGAGGAAUACUCAUUGCGAAGGCGACCUGCUAGAACAUAACUGACGCUGAUGCGCGAAAGCGUGGGGAGCAAACAGGAUUAGAUACCCCGGUAGUC